GCCUAAUGAUGCUAAAAUCAAGGCUUGUUUCUCAUAGCAUUUGCAGUUUGCCGCCUAAUAGCUUUCGCCCUGCCAGGCUUGAGAGCUAGUGCUGUUAAAUCCUUCGUUGAAUGC
rfam:Oryza barthii chromosome 2, whole genome shotgun sequence.